GGGUGGGCCCCGCAGGCUGAGCCGUUCCUCCUCCGCGCCCCAGUCCCGCCGCCGCUCUGAGGGGAAGCAGCGGGGCGGGCUGAGGUGUCCUCAGCGCCCCGGGCCUCCGGCAGGAUCUCCCUCAGGCGACGGCACCCCGUAGGAAGUGAGAGGUCCCUGCGGCCCCCCCGAGCCCGAGCUGCCUACCGGAGCCCGCUCUCGAGUGAGGGGUAUGGGCUCCGCCCCUGUGGAUGCAGGGAGAGGGGGGACCGCCGUGCGGGGUCCGGGAGCCUGUCACUGGAGAGCGGCAAAUGUUCAAGGAAGAAAAAAAGUAAAACGAUAUAGGGCAUAUCUGAAGCAUUGUGGCCCUCUCGUACAAAUCCAGUGUGGCCAUCAUCAGUUUGAGGACUUCAGUAUAUACUUGCAGUAUAUGGAUAAGGAAAAGAUGACUAAACAGAGGCCUGGAAAGGAGAUGUGACCAUCAAACACUACACAGAUCUGUUAAAGAAGUUGGGACGUGUUAACCUGAGUGGCAAAUAAUACAGUUGGAAGCCAGGGCUGACUUCUGGAUGCCAAGUUAGGAAUAAUUGCUGGAGUAAAAACUCAGGGAAGAGUCUGUCCAUGCAUCUACCAUAAAGGCUCCAGUCAGAAGAACUACAUUUGUCAGUGGAUUUCAUCUUGUUUUUCAUCUUCUAUGGUCUUACAGGUCCCAAUGUCUACACAGACAUGUGUUUAUUUACAGAUGUAGAACACAUCCUCAUCAAAUGGUCUUCGGGCACAUGUUCAAAAAGGGGUAAAAAUGCAUUGACUGGCCACUACAGCUGCUAAUACUUAGCAGCUUUUAUGUGAGCCUGUAAAAGUGUUUUGACAUGAUAAACUGCUACAGUCUUCACAGAUGCGGAAAGGCAGUUGCAGAAGAGUUAGAUGAGGGCCUCUGGUUUAUAGGCUGUACCAUAAAAGACUUCUCCAAAUCUCAGGACAAGUCAGUAGUGUGGAGAAGACUAAGAGCAGCUGACUCUAAUCCUUUGCCCUAACCACUGUCCCAGCUGCUUUUCACAUGACCUGCCACUCUACCUAUUCCCAACACAAAGUUCCUAACAUGUUUCCUUUAUUUAAUGCAUCAAAACAUCUUUUUUAAAUGAUGGAAAAUGUAGCCAUUACUCAAGGCUGCCCUUGAGUGAUAGCUUUAUCUAUUUUGUCUAUUGCCAGAAGGACACAGCGUGGUCCUGGAGAGUCUCUGAACAAGGUAAUAACAGAGAGUUGCUUCAUCGAAGCUCUUCCCAUGAGGGACGAGAUCUAUAAUCUUUGUUUUUAGUGGAACAGACUAACAUCUCCGAAGGCGUAGUAGGCGUCAAAAUACAGUCCUUCUGAGCUCUGUAUGCAAAAGGUCAGGCAGUGUUUAAUCCUGGGGGUGACCUCAUGCACCUCGAGGGAAUUUCAUCAAGGAUGUAGUUAGUCUGUAUUUUGCAACAAUCUGUAGGAAAUAAGCUUGGCAUUUCAGAGAUAAAAUUCGCAAGCAGUACCAUUCCAGUCACCCAACGUGCUUUGUAGACGGGAUUUCUGACUGUUUAUUUCAAAAAAGGUCUCAUGUUCAAAACUGAAACUUUCAGCCCUUACUCAGGCAAAAAUUGCACAGAAACCAGUAGGAAUACUGCCUAGAGCAGAGUGAAAUAAAAGCUGGAGGAUCUGGUGCUGUGUUAUUUGGCUCGAGCUGCAAAACUUCAGCAAAUCUGUCUCUAGCAAGCAAAGUGAGCAAUUUUGACAGCUUUUAUUAUAUUGAAUUACAAUGACAAAUAGGGGCAUUGAUAUGUAGAAUGUUUGAAAGCGUGAUAAACACAGUCCUAAUGAGAGAGAUGUUUCUUUUUAUUUGACACAACACCACUGUUUUUUCUCGUGCAUACUCUAGGUGCACCAACAAAAAUAGAAGACCUGGUUGAGGCAAAAUUCCUGAAAUAUUAUUCUCUAAAUCUCUAAGCUUUCACUUAUUACUUUUUAUUCCCAUAAGUAUUUGAUGAUUUUAU